CAAGUGAAUAUAGUUUAACCAAAACCCUAAGCUGUGGCCUUAA
rnacentral:tRNA from 1 species